rnacentral:rRNA from 1 species
UACGUAGGGUGCGAGCGUUAAUCGGAAUACUGGGCGUAAAGCGUGCGCAGGCGGUUUGUAAGCCAGAUGUGAAAGCCCCGGGCUUAACCUGGGAAUGGCAUUUGGGACUGCAAGGCUUGAGUGCGGCAGAGGAGACUGGAAUUCCUGGUGUAGCAGUGAAAUGCGUAGAUAUCAGGAGGAAUACCGAUGGCGAAGGCAGGUCUCGUGGGCUGACCACUGACGCUCGAGU